rnacentral:misc_RNA from 1 species
GAUGAAUAUCAGCCAAGAAAAUCAGAAACCAAAAGACUUGCAUUCAGAUUGGAAUUGAAAUUCAGAAGAUCUUCAUGAUGACUGAGAAGUAGUAAUUUAUGAUUCUCACAUUAGUCUCAAUUUAUAAACGACUAUGUCAAAAAAAUAUCAGUGUUUAAAUUGGUUAUGCAGUGCAUCCUGAACAUAUGAGGUAGAAAUAAAGUGGCAGAGCUCAAUCUUGACAGUUCUUGCAGACGGGCAUAAUGAGUUUUGACAAUACAUGCAAUGUCUCCUUACUCACCUGAGAAAGAAU